rnacentral:misc_RNA from 1 species
ACUACUGUCCAUUUCUAUUGUAUAAGGAAAAUCGCAAAGAAAAAUGGAGUUACUAAAGAUUCCUUAGAAAUUAGCAAUAACAAAUAUGAUUCUUUAUGAUAGUCCUUGAAUUUACCAUUUUAAAAUCUCAAGAUUUAAUACUUUUCUUGAGAGAACUAUCAAUACAUUUGAAAGAACGAAUGAUACAUUAAAAGUUGGCUAAGUUAGCCGUUCGAUUUGCUUUUAAUAACAUUCGUCAUUUUUUCUCAUCCACUAACUUUUAUUGUGCCGAAGUAAUGACGUCUUUGGCAGCACUAGAAACAAAUGCAUCUCCCUUCCGACCAGCACAGCUUUUCACGGUGUAUAUCACGGAUUCUAGCCAAGGGGUUCCACAAAAUGGACAGUCGUUGUAUAGUGAUACAUGGGCAACAAACUCACUCUCAACACAAUCUGUUACCUCUAGUUCUUUUCUUAACACAAAUAUUGGACAGAGUCUUGAACCAUGGGAUAAUACCAUACAGGUCUUAAGCUCCAGAGGCCGCAGUCUUAAUGUUUUCAAUGAAAUGUGGUCAAAUGGAUCUACGAUUACUAAUCCAUCUCUAACCAAUAUCACACAAGGUCAUUUCCAGCAACUGAAAACUGCCAAGAAAGGAACACCACCUGGCAUAGCUGUCUACUCCAAAAAGGCAUCAUUUCAAUCGAAUUCCCUUACGCCACUAACUUCAACAUCAUUUGAUAAUGUCCAUGAACUAAGAAACCAAUUCAGCGAAUUAACUAUUAUCGACCGACAGACAAGCAAACGUCCACCAAGUCACUACCUUUGUCAUUUAUGUUUUAGAAAAGGGCAUUAUAUCAAGGACUGCCCUCAGGCCCGGCCAAAAGGUGAAGGACUGACUCCAUAUCAAGGAAAGAAAAGAUGUUUCGGUGAAUAUAAAUGCCCAAAGUGCAAACGCAAAUGGAUGAGUGGCAACAGUUGGGCCAACAUGGGUCAAGAAUGCAUCAAAUGUCACAUUAAUGUUUAUCCAUUCAAACAGAGACCACUAGAGAAACCUGAUGGUUUGGAUGUAUCCGACCAAAGCAAAGUGCAUCCACAGCAUCUGUGUGAAAAAUGCAAAGUUCUAGGAUAUUAUUGCCGCCGAAUGAAUUAAAUUUACCAUUAAUAGUGACAAUGAAAUGACCAUUGAAACAAGUUUUAAUAUGAAGUUAUAUAACAGAACUGACUGGAUCCAGUUGUAGAAACCAUUCCAAAGCAGACGCUGGAACCGAUGCUGUCCUUGGGCCCAUUGGAUCCUGUGAAACCAUCCAACCCCUUACCAGCAUGGAACAUGGAGAUGAAAUGAUGAUGAUGAUGAUAUGUAAGUUUUCAAGAACAAGUGUGGAAAGAAAAGUCAGAAUGAUCAUGACUGGAAUGUCUUUGACCACAGGUCUGUUUGAUAAGGGAUAACAUGGAUUAAAUAACAACCAAAAGGAAAAAUCACAAGAGAAAAUUACAGAUAUAUAUUAAGAAAAUUUUAUUUUUACUAUAAUAUAUAUAUAUAUGUAUAAAAAAAAUUAUAUAAAAAUGUCGAAGGAGGCACAAUUUCCUUUUAAUGA